rnacentral:lncRNA from 1 species
GGCGAAGUGUGGCUGCUCCGGUCCUGGAGGGGAUGGACCGUUGCAUGCCAAACGUCUGGCGUAGGAAGGAAAAGUUUUGACAGCUUCUUUCUUGGUGUGACAGCCUUCCACAUUUCGUUGGAGUCUUGGUGGUGAAGCUUUUUCCACACACUACACCACUGUAAACUGCUUUGAUCUAUAUCUCCAUCCUGUUACCUGUGUGAAGUCUCUGGUCGUGCAGCUUAAAUAACGCACUCUGACCGGAGCGCUUUCUCCGACUUCACCUCACCGAGCCCGGGCAUCAUGAGAACCUGGAGGCGGCGGAAGAACUUUGCCUUUCUGUUCUUUGCUCUCCGCGUCUGGUGCCUGUCCACAGCGACAGAAAAUGCUGACAACACGCUUUACAAUACACAGGAAGGAAGUAGUCCAGACAAGGCUAAACAGCGAGGGGAAGCAACCGAUCCAGAACGCUAUGAGACCACAGUACCGCUGCUGCUGAAGGGCAAGGAGCGAAGACCUUUCUCCCAGCUCACGGCCGGGAGUUAUCCUCCGUCACUCCAGCUGCUGGUACGUGCAGAAGGUGAACAGUUGAUCCUGUUGCUGGAAAAAAAUGAUGACCUCAGCAUCAGCUGUGAGUCAUCCGUCACCAUCCUGAGGCCCGGGAGCAUGCUGCCAUUCCCAUCCGGCCUGUCUGUCUGUCAGGCCAGAUGUGUCCUCUGAUAUCGCGUCACCAGUUCAGCCAACUCAGAGCAGGUGUUCUCUGACCUCUAUGUGGUUCAGUUUUGUCGAGACUGUGACAAUUCAGUCUGGGGCAGAAGGAAAGAUGAGGGCGCAUAAAAGGAAAAUGCCAACGAGCUAGCUAUGCCUUGACAUUUUUCUGAAUAAUUUACAGUAAUGUUUUCCAAGCUGGCAACAGUCAGUCCUGCUC